CUUACACAUGCAAGUCGAACGGCAGCGCGGGGCAACCUGGCGGCGAGUGGCGAACGGGUGAGUAAUAUAUCGGAACGUGCCCUGGAGUGGGGGAUAACGCAGCGAAAGUUGCGCUAAUACCGCAUACGAUCUAAGGAUGAAAGCGGGGGAUUCGCAAGAACCUCGUGCUCCUGGAGCGGCCGAUAUCUGAUUAGCUAGUUGGUGGGGUAAAGGCCUACCAAGGCAUCGAUCAGUAGCUGGUCUGAGAGGACGACCAGCCACACUGGAACUGAGACACGGUCCAGACUCCUACGGGAGGCAGCAGUGGGGAAUUUUGGACAAUGGGCGAAAGCCUGAUCCAGCAAUGCCGCGUGAGUGAAGAAGGCCUUCGGGUUGUAAAGCUCUUUUGUCAGGGAAGAAACGGUGAAGGCUAAUAUCCUUUGCUAAUGACGGUACCUGAAGAAUAAGCACCGGCUAACUACGUGCCAGCAGCCGCGGUAAUACGUAGGGUGCAAGCGUUAAUCGGAAUUACUGGGCGUAAAGCGUGCGCAGGCGGUUUUGUAAGUCUGUCGUGAAAUCCCCGGGCUCAACCUGGGAAUUGCGAUGGAGACUGCAAGGCUAGAAUCUGGCAGAGGGGGGUAGAAUUCCACGUGUAGCAGUGAAAUGCGUAGAGAUGUGGAGGAACACCGAUGGCGAAGGCAGCCCCCUGGGUCAAGAUUGACGCUCAUGCACGAAAGCGUGGGGAGCAAACAGGAUUAGAUACCCUGGUAGUCCACGCCCUAAACGAUGUCUACUAGUUGUCGGGUUUUAAUUAACUUGAUAACGCAGC
rnacentral:rRNA from 1 species